rnacentral:rRNA from 1 species
GAUGAACGCUGGCGGCGUGCUUAACACAUGCAAGUCGAACGGAAAGGCUCCUGCUUGCAGGGGUACUCGAGUGGCGAACGGGUGAGUAACACGUGGGUGAUCUGCCCUGCACUUCGGGAUAAGCCUGGGAAACUGGGUCUCAUACCGGAUAGGACGAUGGUUUGGAUGCCAUUGUGGAAAGUUUUUUCGGUGUGGGAUGAGCUCGCGGCCUAUCAGCUUGUUGGUGGGGUAAUGGCCUACCAAGGCGUCGACGGGUAGCCGGCCUGAGAGGGUGUACGGCCACAUUGGGACUGGGAUACGGCCCAGACUACUACGGGAGGCAGCAGUGGGGAAUAGUACACAAUGGGCGCAAGCCUGAUGCAGCGACGCCGCGUGGGGGAUGACGGCCUUCGGGUUGUAAUCUACUUUCGCUAGGGACGAAGCGCAAGUGACGGUACCUGGAGAAGAAGCACCGGCUAACUACGUG